rnacentral:rRNA from 1 species
GAUGAACGCUGGCGGCGUGCUUAACACAUGCAAGUCGAACGGGAAAUAUUUCAUUAAGACUUCGGUGGAUUUGAUUUAUUUCUAGUGGCGGACGGGUGAGUAACGCGUGGGUAACCUGCCUUAUACAGGGGGAUAACAGUCAGAAAUGGCUGCUAAUACCGCAUAAGCGCACAGAGCUGCAUGGCUCAGUGUGAAAAACUCCGGUGGUAUAAGAUGGACCCGCGUUGGAUUAGCUAGUUGGUGGGGUAACGGCCCACCAAGGCGACGAUCCAUAGCCGGCCUGAGAGGGUGAACGGCCACAUUGGGACUGAGACACGGCCCAGACUCCUACGGGAGGCAGCAGUGGGGAAUAUUGCACAAUGGGGGAAACCCUGAUGCAGCGACGCCGCGUGAAGGAAGAAGUAUCUCGGUAUGUAAACUUCUAUCAGCAGGGAAGAUAGUGACGGUACCUGACUAAGAAGCCCCGGCUAACUACGUG